rfam:Streptomyces aurantiacus JA 4570 Seq56, whole genome shotgun sequence.
CGCACCGUGUACUCCCAGAUGGUCUCCGGGUCGAUGAGGGCCUGCUCGCCGAAGUACGCCCCGUCGGCGAGCGUUCCGAGGACGGUGUCGUCGCCGUACGGCCCGGUGCCGAUCUUCUCGGCCCUGCCGUGGGCGAGCAGGAACACCUCGUCCGCCUGGUUGCCGAACGACGUGAGGACCCCGCCGGCCUCGAACUCCCGCUGCUGGCAGCGACGGGCCAGCUCGGUGAGCACCUCCUGGUCCUCGAAGUCCCGCAGGACCGGCAGUUCGCCCAGCUCCGCCGGGAUCACCUCGACACGGUCCCCGGUCUUGACGAACGUGACCCGGCCGUCACCGACCGAAUAGCUCGUCCUGCGGUUCACGCGAUAUGUGCCGCCCUGCACCUGCACCCAGGGCAGCAUCCGCAGCAGCCAGCGGGAGCUGAUCUCCUGCAUCUGCGGCGCGGACUUGGUGGUGGUGGCCAGAUUCCGCGCGGCGGAUGUGCCGAGACUCUGCUGCGGCGUGUCCU